ACUUUGUCUGCGUUGUCUUAAGUAGCAGUUAUGAAGAUUUCAGUUUAAAUGGAAAUGCAAAUAGGCGCGGCUAUUUGUCGAGUAGUGUUUGAAAACACUAAAUCAUUACUAUACAAAUGAAGACUGAGUGUAGCAUACUUUUAAGCGAUACAUCGAUAAGUCUGUGUGUUGGGCUGUUGUCGAAUUUUAAUCGUAAAUAUUGCGAAUACGUAUUUUAAAAGAAGCGCAGAUUUUCUGUAAUUAUUAAAUGUCGCUACUAAAUAAACGCUACUGCAUUAUUGUUUACUUGCCAAUGAAUCGCGAACAAAUGAGCAAGUGGAGCAGGCCAGUAAGCUGAGAAAAGUCUGAACGCGCUGCAAUGACAGCUUCACUGGAACGAUGCAGAGCUGCAAAUUGCGGAUCGUGGAUUGCCAGGCUGCUGUAGUUGGAGCAGCAAUGACAGCGAGCAGCCGCCAGAUGGGCUCUAUAUGAUAUCGCCAAUUGAGCAACAGAUGACCUGGAGCAGCGAGCUUUAGCUUCAGCUGAAGGAACAACUGCAGCCCACACAGCUGCAACGGAAAAGUCUAUUACAUUCCCCAUAUCUACGCCAAGCAAAAACUAUGUAUAAAGAUCAAGCUUCAAGUCUUUCCAUGAGCAGAAUUUUUCAAUCCUCUGCGGGAAGAUGCUGAACAGAGUGAACGGCUUUACGAUCGCGGCUUAUCCUUCAUCUGUUGCAUGGGCCAACGAGAAUAUGGGCGCAGCGACUAACAUCUGCUAUAGCUGGGAUGGAUGAGAACGAAGGUUUACCACAUUCAUGAUCUUUGAGUGAUGUCGGCGGCCCAGCGAAAAAUCUCAUUUUAGUAAUAAGUCCUUAAUUAAACACCCGUAGCACGAGCUACAUUGCUUUGUCCAAUGCGCCGGAAUAUACAGUUACCCGAAAUCACACUAAACGAAAGUACAUAAUCUAGCCAAGCAGAAGCCGGGCAACAAAGCCUCAGAAUAUUCCAAACAAAUUGGCAAAGGAGAACCGAAUAAAUGUAUACUAAAUCUCUGAUCAUCGGACUUGAUUGAAACAUAUAGAGUAAUCGAAGUAUAAUUUCACUAUCUACAUAUAAAGAAGAAUCCAUUUCUCUCUAAGAUGUCAAAAUCGGAGAAACUUCAAUCCUCUUUUAUGGUAAAGAAGACUAAUAUAUAAAUUCCACAAAAAAAGAGAAUGCCUGCAUAUAAGUAUGUCGUCAGAGAACGAAUUAUCACAUAUAUUUGGAAUAGGGUUAGGAAAAAAGAUCAAAUUGAUCAAAUUAGUUUUUAAAGGUUCUCAGAUAAGACAGGGACAAUUCGUUCCACUAACACAAAAAACGAAAAGAGAUAUAAAUAUAUAUAUUAUAUGCCGAUAGCCGAAUAUAAUACACUCUGUUAGAUAUAGAAAUAAUGUAAUAUAUAAUCGAAGAUGCUUUAGAAGAGAUAUUGUUCAUAUGUAUUAUCUACUUUAACAUGUUAAAAAUUAAAACAAUAAUAGCAAAAGUUUCAUUUUAUACAAACAAGAAAUUUCUAUUAGUAUUGAAGAACUAAAUCAGGUAUUUUUAUGAAAUAUCUUGUUUAUGGUAUAUGGUAUGUUUAUAAUAGAAUUAAUAGAAUUAUUUGCAUAGUCUAGAUUAUAAUUAUUAUGAUAUUUUAUCAUUAUUAUUUUAUAUAUAUUUAUAAUACUAUUAAUCAGUUAUGACGGAGCAAAGUUGUAGGCCUGUAUGAUAAUUCGAUAUGAUUUGUAUUAAUUUUUAAAGAACAUGUAAUUUUGUUGGCCUGUCUGAUUAGAUGAGUCUGAAGAAAAGCCAAAAGAAUCAUUAAAAAAAAACUACGUCAAUGCAAAAUAAGAUCUAUCAAGCAAUAAUAUUA